UACGGGGGGGGCAAGCGCUGUUCGGAAUUACUGGGCGUAAAGGGCUCGUAGGUGGCCAACUAAGUCAGACGUGAAAUCCCUCGGCUUAACCGGGGAACUGCGUCUGAUACUGGAUGGCUUGAGUUCGGGAGAGGGAUGCGGAAUUCCAGGUGUAGCGGUGAAAUGCGUAGAUAUCUGGAGGAACACCGGUGGCGAAGGCGGCAUCCUGGACCGACACUGACACUGAGGAGCGAAAGCCAGGGGAGCAAACGGG
rnacentral:rRNA from 1 species